rnacentral:rRNA from 1 species
ACAAAGACAGGCAGCUACACAUGCAAGUCGAGCGGUAGCACAGAGAGCUUGCUCUCGGGUGACGAGCGGCGGACGGGUGAGUAAUGUCUGGGAAACUGCCUGAUGGAGGGGGAUAACUACUGGAAACGGUAGCUAAUACCGCAUAACGUCGCAAGACCAAAGAGGGGGACCUUCGGGCCUCUUGCCAUCAGAUGUGCCCAGAUGGGAUUAGCUAGUAGGUGGGGUAACGGCUCACCUAGGCGACGAUCCCUAGCUGGUCUGAGAGGAUGACCAGCCACACUGGAACUGAGACACGGUCCAGACUCCUACGGGAGGCAGCAGUGGGGAAUAUUGCACAAUGGGCGCAAGCCUGAUGCAGCCAUGCCGCGUGUAUGAAGAAGGCCUUCGGGUUGUAAAGUACUUUCAGCGGGGAGGAAGGUGCUGAGGUUAAUAACCUCAGCAAUUGACGUUACCCGCAGAAGAAGCACCGGCUAACUCCGUGCCAGCAGCCGCGGUAAUACGGAGGGUGCAAGCGUUAAUCGGAAUUACUGGGCGUAAAGCGCACGCAGGCGGUCUGUCAAGUCGGAUGUGAAAUCCCCGGGCUCAACCUGGGAACUGCAUUCGAAACUGGCAGGCUAGAGUCUUGUAGAGGGGGGUAGAAUUCCAGGUGUAGCGGUGAAAUGCGUAGAGAUCUGGAGGAAUACCGGUGGCGAAGGCGGCCCCCUGGACAAAGACUGACGCUCAGGUGCGAAAGCGUGGGGAGCAAACAGGAUUAGAUACCCUGGUAGUCCACGCCGUAACGAUGUCGACUUGGAGGUUGUGCCCUUGAGGCGUGGCUUCCGGAGCUAACGCGUUAAGUCGACCGCCUGGGGAGUACGGCCGCAAGGUUAAAACUCAAAUGAAUUGACGGGGGCCCGCACAAGCGGUGGAGCAUGUGGUUUAAUUCGAUGCAACGCGAAGAACCUUACCUACUCUUGACAUCCAGAGAACUUAGCAGAGAUGCUUUGGUGCCUUCGGGAACUCUGAGACAGGUGCUGCAUGGCUGUCGUCAGCUCGUGUUGUGAAAUGUUGGGUUAAGUCCCGCAACGAGCGCAACCCUUAUCCUUUGUUGCCAGCGGUCCGGCCGGGAACUCAAAGGAGACUGCCAGUGAUAAACUGGAGAAAAGGGUUGGGGGAAUGAAAGCUCUAGU